AGUGAACGCUGGCGGUAGGCCUAACACAUGCAAGUCGAACGGCAGCACAGUAAGAGCUUGCUCUUACGGGUGGCGAGUGGCGGACGGGUGAGGAAUACAUCGGAAUCUACUUUUUCGUGGGGGAUAACGUAGGGAAACUUACGCUAAUACCGCAUACGACCUACGGGUGAAAGCAGGGGAUCUUCGGACCUUGCGCGAAUGAAUGAGCCGAUGUCGGAUUAGCUAGUUGGCGGGGUAAAGGCCCACCAAGUCGACGAUCCGUAGCUGGUCUGAGAGGAUGAUCAGCCACACUGGAACUGAGACACGGUCCAGACUCCUACGGGAGGCAGCAGUGGGGAAUAUUGGACAAUGGGCGCAAGCCUGAUCCAGCCAUACCGCGUGGGUGGAGAAGGCCUUCGGGUUGUAAAGCCCUUUUGUUGGGAAAGAAAAGCAGCAGGUUAAUACCCCGCUGUUCUGACGGUACCCAAAGAAUAAGCACCGGCUAACUUCGUG
rnacentral:rRNA from 1 species